rnacentral:rRNA from 1 species
CCGCCGGCGACCGGCGCACGGGUGAGUAACACGUAUGCAACCUGGCCGUGACAGAUGGAUAACCGGGAGAAAUCCCGCCUAAUACAACAUAAUGCCGGGAGGGGACAUCCCCUGCCGGCCAAAGGGGGCGACCCCCGGUCACGGAUGGGCAUGCGGCGCAUUAGGUAGUUGGUGGGGCAACGGCCCACCAAGCCGACGAUGCGUAGGGGUUCUGUGAGGAAGGUCCCCCACAUUGGAACUGAGACACGGUCCAAACUCCUACGGAAGGCAGCAG